CGUUUUAUCCAAAAUUUCUCUCAUGUUGCUAGACCUUUGUCUCGACUUACUAGUAAGAAGGUACCUUUUACAUGGUCUCCGGAAGCUGAAGAAGCUUUCACCCAACUUAAAUCUGCUCUUAUCUCGUCACCUAUUCUACAAUGUCCUGAUUUCUCUCAGCCAUUUUACAUCCAUACGGAUGCUUCCUCGUUUGCUAUUGGUGCUGUUUUAACUCAAAGGGUCGAUGGUAUUGAUCACCCUAUCGCUUAUUGUAGCAGAAUAUUAAACGCCCAAGAAAUCAAUUACUCAGCGACAGAAAGAGAACUGUUAGCUGUGAUUUAUUCUCUGGAGUUAUACCGUCCUUAUGUUGAGGGUAGCAAAUGUUAUAUUAUAACCGAUCAUGCCUCGUUGCAAUGGUUUCAGAAUCUUAGUAAUCCGAGUGGUCGUCUAAAUAGAUGGGCAUGUCGUUUGAGUCAGUUCGAUUUUGAUAUAAUUCACAGGAAAGGUAAAGAACAUGUGAUACCUGAUGCUUUGUCUAGAAUCAAGAUUGACUCAAUUGAAAUUGAUCCCUACACUAUUUCUGAUCCUUGGUAUAUUAAAGUCUUUAACGGUUGUACUAAAAAUCCUCGUCGUUAUCCUAAUUUCUCGGUAGUAAAUGGUAAACUAUGUCGUUUAUCUAAAAAUAAAUAUCAUCUUAUUUCUCAACACGAUUGGAAAAUCGUUGUUCCCCGUGAAAAAUAUGUAGAAGUUCUUCGAAAAUAUCAUGAUGAGCCUUCUUCCGGUCAUUUCGGUGUGGCUAAGACCCACAAGAAAAUUUCUUCCAUAUAUUUCUGGCCUUCCUUAUUUAAAGAUGUAAAAUCAUAUGUUGACAAUUGUGAGGUAUGUCGUUCAUACAAGCCGGUCAAUACUGCUAGGCCUGGUCUGAUGGGUAACCCCCGUCAAGUUACUAAACCUUGGGAGGCUAUAUCAUGCGAUAUAUUAGGUCCUUUCCCUUCUUCUUAUUCUCGCAAUCAAUACUUAUUCGUGGUCUCUGAUUAUUUCAGUAAGUAUGUUCUUUUAUUUCCUUUGCGUAGUGCAACUUCUAAGGCCAUUGUGAAAUGUCUUGAGAAACAUGUUUUUCUAGUCCAUGGCGUAUGUCGUAUCCUGUAUACCGACAACGGUCCUCAAUUCACUUCUAAAGAAUUUAGAGAUUCUUUAACUUCAUUCGGAGUACCUCAUAUAUUUUAUAAUCCUCGAUAUCAUCCUCAGUGUAAUCAAACUGAACGCGUGAAUCGUGAUGUUGUUCGUGCCAUUGCUUCCCUCGUGCGUUCUGAUCAUCGUAAAUGGGAUCAGAACAUUCAGGAAAUCCAGUGUGCGCUCAAUACUUCGGUCCACGAAAGUACAAAAUAUACUGCCUUUUAUCUAAAUCAUGGUAGAGAGAUGGUCAUCGAUGGUGCUACUUAUACACAAGAUUCUUCACCUUGUGAUGGGUCUACCAUAGUAGUAGAUACCCAAACUUUUGCUUCUCGGUUGCCGCGUAUGGCUGAAGUCUUCAAGAAAGUUGAAUGUCACCUUAAAAAGGCAUAUCAACACAAUGUAAAAUAUUAUAAUCUUAGGAAGCGUCCUUUGGAAUUGCGGGAAGGUCAAAUUAUUUAUAAAAGAUGUUUUCCUUUGUCCAGCGCUCCCAAGCACUUUUCUGCUAAACUAGCCCCUAAGUUUGAAAAAUGUGUAGUGCAUAAAAAGCUAGGUAAUGUAGUUUAUUCAUUGAAAACCUUAGAAGGUAAACCUUUGGGUUCCUUCCACAUUAAAGAUCUUGUUGUUCGAGGUCCUAGUGAGGAAGUUUAGGUCUUCUCUCACUUUCAAGGUUGUGUUCUAAGGACAUUACCUGUUAAGUGGUCAUCCCUAUAGGAAGGUGAUCCAUUUGAUGAGGUUUCCCUCGUUCGAGUAAUAUCCGUAGGCCUUGUUUAUGCAUUUGGUGUGUGUUUGAUUGUCACCCAAAUGACGCCAAGGAUAUUCACUCUUAUAUAUAAAAAGAAGAUAGAUUAAGUUUUUUAAGUACUUAAGUAGUUUUUACUUGGAAUAAGUUUAGUGUCAUGGCCAUGACUAAGUAUAACGUAUGCAUAAGGUUUAGUCUAUUAUUUUAAAUUUAAAAGUUAGGUAGGUGUUCCUUUGCCAUGACUAAGUAUAACGUAUGCAUAAGGUUUAGUCUAUUAUUUUAAAUUUAAAAGUUAGGUAGGUUUUCCUUUGCCAUGACUAAGUAAAACGUAUGCAUAAGGUUUAGUCUGUUAUUUUAAAUUUAAAAGUUAGGUAGGUCUUCCUUUAACUUGACUAUGUUCAAGAUAUUUGUAUGUUUAUUUAAGGUUAAGCAGUGUUAGAUUUAAGUCUUAGAGUUGUCGUCUGACACCACCAGGGUGUUUCUUUGAUUUGUUUCAAACAUAUGUUGCCUAUGUGCAAUGUGUUUUCUUGGGAGAAUCCCAAAUUUUAACUCAGGUAAGCACGAGGCUAGUGCGGAAUGUACUAAUCUUUUCCCCUUGGGCUACAUGAGAUGUGUUUUUAAGUUUGAUACAUGGUGAUCAUGUUUGUUUCUUUCCAUUCUUUUACCUUUGUAAGGUAAAUGUACGUUCAUAACAAGUUAACUCAUCUGGAGUCGCUUGUUAUUUCUCUUUCGUUACUAGAGUGUAGCGAAAAAUUUUAUUUAAAAAUUUUAAAUUUUUAAAUAAAAUUUUUCUUCCUCAACUAAAACGGAACUGUAACACGUUUUUUUUUUACACUUCCCACUUGGCUGUAUGGCAUACAGGUGUGUGCCUACGCGCCGGGAAAAAGUUAUGUUCGUUUGACAUUUCGUUUACGCGAUGACGAUGGCAAUUUAGUCCCGUCGCGAUUAUUUCUUUAAAGUGGUGUAUAAGCCACAUAUAUUAUGAGGAAAGGAUGGUGAAGUCUUCUGUAUAAAAACAAUGGUUUAGUCCAUCGACUAGGGGGAAUGCUGUUAUAAUAUCGUCCCACGUGAUGUGGUGAGUGUUUUUACCUUUAAUUCCGCGUCGUAACGGGGUUGACAGAGCUGUAACAUGUCAUUUUGUUACAGGGGUCAAAGUCCACCGGCAGAGUCCAGUGUUAAAGUUCUACUAGAAUGAUCAACUGUAAAGACUAACUUCAAAAAUCAACUUCAAGAUCUUCCUUCAGGGUCUAGCUCCCCAGCCAUGACUACCAUUUGUGUUCAUUAUCUACUUUUGCCGUCAGGGUCAAUUCCUGCUGCGGUCAUUAAUGUACAUAAUUCCAGUUUGGUGUUAAAGUCUCUGGAUACCAUCUAGAUAUCUCUUCUUCAUGAUUAAUUUAACUUAUUAUGGAUAGUGCCAUUCUCUCAAUGUGUUAUUCAACUAAUACAUGGAGUAUUUAUCCUCAAUACAUACUCCAUGCCUUUUGUCAGGACCUGCCGUCCUGACACUUUACUUUUCCUCAUAGGGAUAAUACCUAGUUGUUUAGGAAUAAUACUAAGUUAAGAUACCAUGUUAUAGUACUAGAUUUAUUUCUUAAUUUACCUUAGGAUGUUUUGUAACCGACUGACUUCAUAUCAUUUUAUUUUGAAAUUGUUGAAUCAAUUAUACUAUUGUUAAAAGUGAAA